rnacentral:rRNA from 1 species
UGGGGAAUAUUGCACAAUGGGCGAAAGCCUGAUGCAGCAACGCCGCGUGAGUGAUGAAGGUCUUCGGAUUGUAAAGCUCUGUCUUUUGGGACGAUAAUGACGGUACCAAAGGAGGAAGCCACGGCUAACUACGUGCCAGCAGCCGCGGUAAUACGUAGGUGGCGAGCGUUGUCCGGAUUUACUGGGCGUAAAGGGUGCGUAGGCGGAUGUUUAAGUGAGAUGUGAAAUACCCGGGCUUAACUUGGGUGCUGCAUUUCAAACUGGAUAUCUAGAGUGCAGGAGAGGAGAAUGGAAUUCCUAGUGUAGCGGUGAAAUGCGUAGAGAUUAGGAAGAACACCAGUGGCGAAGGCGAUUCUCUGGACUGUAACUGACGCUGAGGCACGAAAGCGUGGGUAGCAAACAGGAUUAGAUACUCUGGUAGUCCACGCCGUAAACGAUGAGUACUAGGUGUAGGAGGUAUCGACCCCUUCUGUGCCGCAGUAAACACAUUAAGUACUCCGCCUGGGAAGUACGAUCGCAAGAUUAAAACUCUAAAGUGAAUU